UUCCUCCUCGUCAUCGUCUUCCAGGUUUUCUGUCAAGCAAAAUCCAGACAGAGAUGAAAUAGUGCCCCUUCACCCGUUACAGACACAAAGGCCUGCCUGGGCACGGACAGCAAUGACCUGUGUAUGAGGGCAGGACACACUGAGAGAAUUGCACUGACAGCCCCAUGUGUGACUUUGAAGGAAUGGCCUGGGAUGGUGUCCUGACGCAUCAGGCAAAAUGUCCUUGAUCUGCUGGCUCCCCAUCAUGGCGUGCUCUGAGUUUAACUGGGUAAAGAUCAAAUAUCUUUUGUCUCCAGGUCAUUGGGUAGUUGUCCAGUUUCCCUCUGGAAUUCUCUAGUUCUCUCCUCCUCCUUCCACAAAGCUGGCUCCCAGUCUCAGUGACUCUAUGUCCACUCAGAACGCCCACAUAGACCCUACUCCUUUCUCUAAAAGGAGGAUAGAAAACCCCAUGACUCACCCCUCCAUACAUCCCGGGACUUCACGGGGACCUCCAAGUUGGCUUUUACAUCAUAAGAGGGAAAAAUUUUCUUGUGGAAAGUGUUCUGUUACAAAUCAACGUAUCUGCCCCAAGAUUUUCAGAUUAUAACUAAAUAAACCCCAAACAGUUAGGAGUAUGAUCCCUUUCUGAAGCACAUUCAUGAGCAUUCCCUUCUUUAGUAGUUACAGCUACCAGGCGACACAUCUUUUGACCCAUUUUACAGAUGAGGAGACAGAAAUCCAGGAAGGAGAAAUCAAAUACUCGCCUGUAGCUAUAAAAGCCAGAGCUCAGGCAAGAGCCUGAGGAGCUCUAGCUCAGUCCAGGAUUCUUUUCACUCUAACAAGCUGCCUCCUGUCACGUCCUCCUUUGUGUGCUGUGACACCAGGUGGAGGCUGCCUCCUGCCCCAAAGGGCACGGUCCCUCAGGGCGGAAGCAGGCUCUUGGAGCACUAUGAUGUCCCCCUGUGCAUUUCUCCCCUCUGCUCCCACCCAGCCAGUCGUGGUCCUGUCAUGGCUCCAAGUGCGAUGUGGACACCAGGACAGCUGGUGAAAGUGUUAUGAGGGGAGAUUCCGAGGCUCUUGUCAGCCAGGGACCUUGGAGGGGCUCAGCGCAAUCAGGGCUUCUGGCCGCCUUACCUGGGCUAAGCUUGCGGACAAGGUGCUCUGCCAGCCUGGAUCCCUCAGCCAGUUGUUCUUGGAAGCCCUGUCCCCAGUCUCUGCCAAUGUCACUGUGGGUGAGGAGGUCCCUGAGGUCCUGAUGGAGGAGGACAGAGAGCUCUCUUCCUUCCCGUGACGUCUGGCGUAUCUGGGUCAGCUUUCGUGCAUGAUCAUGAAUGAGGAAAUGGUAUUUCCUAGGCGGGAGGGAAGAGAAAUCCUCAGAGUGGAAAUUGGGUCAUGAGAGAUGAUAAGGAGUUUGAGAGAGAUUUCGGUGAGAAUAUCCCCAAAAGGCCUUCCAAGUAGAAAUCUGCUCAUUUUUGGUGGACUGCAUUUUUUCUUCUUUCCUUUUGCAUGUUACACACAGUGACCCAGUGAAAACAUGCUCCUGAGACACUGGAGACUGGAAGAGAUCUUGGAACUUUAGGCCUCCUUCUCUAAAGGUUGAGGCAAAAUAGGAAUGUUUAUUUAGUCUGGCUACUUUCCUUGUCAUGAAAUACCUGCCAACAUGCUCAGGGCCACAUGCAGAGAGCAGGUAUGGACCUGACUCUGGGUUUUGACCCUCCGGAGGAGAAGAAGGCAUCUCUGAAGGGGCAGGACGUCUCUAGGCCUGGUUACCUCACUGGGAGUGAGACAGACUCCACAUGCUGCAAAGAACACGGACGAUCAAGAUGGGGGGGAGUGGAGGAGACCAGCACAAUCAGCCAGUUUUGUGCCUCCUUGCUUCAGGAAAGAAGCUACUUUUGACCUCUGCGUCUGUUCUUUCCAGAAACCUUCUCUGCAUUUGACUUGUACAUUACCCUCCUCUGAUCCUUCACUGUUACCUGGGGGUCAGUGAUCCCAGUUGUUCUUCAGCCUCCUCUUCGUGGUUUUCUGCAAAGAAAUUGAGAAAAGUCCAUUUAGACAUGAGCUAGUUGCACUUCACCCGUUACAAAUGCAGGUGCCUCUCUCUGCCUGGAGACACGAAUUACCUCUACAUGAGUUCAGAAAGGUGUCGUGUUGUGUCUGUAAAGAAAUGGGCUGCCGUGGUAUUCUGAUGGAUCAGGCAAAGUGGCCCUGAUCUGAUGGGUCCCAGAUGGCAUGCUCUGGUGGAACUGGGCAAGGAGUUAAAAAUUGAUUUGGUUACCCAGAUCAAGAGAUGCUUCUCCAGCUUUCCUAGGGGCUCCUCCCACUCUCUCCUCCCUCCUGCCACAAGGCUGGUUUCCAAGCUCAGUGACUCUGCAUCUCAUCAUGCCUUUCACAGAGAACCUCCUCCUUCUCUCAGGAGAUGAAAAACAAUUCUGUCCCACGAGUCUCACAUGACUUGGUCCUUCGUGGGGACUUCCACGUCUGCUUCUACCGUUCACCAGGAAAAUUCUCUCCUCGUUAAGUGCUAAGUAUUCUAGUGUAAACCCGUAUCCCACUACCAGAUUCUACCAUACCCAGUACUGAAAUCAACCCCAGUGAGUGACCCUAGCAUUGUGAAAGUACGCUCAUAGGCCUUCCCUAUUGGAAUGCUACAGCUACCAUGCAACACAUGUGUUAAUCACGUUAGAGAUUAAGAAACUGAGAUCCAGGAAGGAUACAUCUGUCCCACACCCACUGUUAGAAAAGACAGAACUCAGGCUGGAGCCUGGGAACGUCCACGCUUAGCUCAGGGCCCUUUUCAGCCGAACUAGCUGCCUCCUAUCAUGUCUGCCUUUCUGUGCUCUAAAACUGGGUGGAGGCUGCCCCCUGUCCCAAGGGCCAUGGCAAAUGAGGGAGGAAGCAGGCACUCGGAACACUAUCACCUCCACCUUGUACAUUUCUCCUCUCUGUCCUCCCACCCAGCUGCUCCUGGUCCUGUCAUGACCCCAAGUGCUGAUGUGGAAACCAGGACAGAUGGCAAAAACAUUAUGAGGGGAGAAGUGGAGGCUCUUGUGAGCCGGGGACCUUGGAGGGCUCAGUGCAAUCAGGGCCUGUGGCCGCCUUACCUGGGCCGAGCUUGCUGCCAAGGGCCUGGGACAGCCUGCAUCCCUCAGCCAAUUGCUCUUGGAAGGCCUGCCCCCGGAGGUUGUUAAGGUCACUGCGGCCCAGUAGCUCCUUGAGGUUCUGAUUAAGGAGGACCGAUAGCUCUCUUCCUUCCCGUGUCUUUAGGCAUAACUGGGUCAGCUCUCGUGCCUGAACUCGAAUUAGAAAAUCAAACUCCCUAUGGUGGGUUAGAAGGGAAAAUGUAUAAUUGGAAUUGAGUCAAAGGUUCUUAGGACCUCCACAGAGGUUUCUAUGAGAACAUCCCCCAUUUGCCUUCAAAACAGAAUUUUCAGACAUGUUUGGCAAAAUGCCUAAAUAGUUUUUGAAAGCUCCAUCAGCGGCCAGGGCAAUACAAGCUCCUGAGGGAUUGCAGACUCCAGCGUUCUUUGUACCUUCUAGGCCACCUUCUCUCAGUGUCUAACAUAAUACCACUUUCGGGGGUCUAGUUACCUUCCCUGCUGUGAAAUACCUGCCAACGACCUAAGAUGAACUCUGCAGAAAGCGGAUGUGAAUCUCACCCUGCCUUUAACCCACCAUCCAUGAGAGGACACGUGAUGUCCGGGAGUACAGGAAAUCCAUGAGAGUAGUUGGUUCACCUUGGUUCAGACUAACUCUACAAGUACCAGAAGGAGACUGCACAGCCCCAUUCAGAGGGCUAUGUCGUUGUUGGUUGAGGGAAUGACAGGACUGCAAUCUGCAGGUUUGGGUGACCAUCGCAUCACAGAUGUGGUCACCUUUGUGCUCCUUGAUCUUUCUAGGACCCUUUCCAUACUUUACCUGUCCUUUACCCUCCCCUGGUCGUUCAUUUUGGACAGUGGUUCUCUCUCUUCCACAUACUCCUCGUCUUCAUGACUUUCUGCAGACAAAUUCAGAAACGUCUAGUCAGACAUCGACCCGGCCCUGGUAGAUCAUCACCCCCAUGUCCUCUGCCCUGAGUCGAGCAAACAGUUAAAUACGUCUAUUUUCACCAAAGAUCACAGGGAACAUGUCAGCAGCCUUCAAGAGCUGUUGCUGAAAGAGUCAGCUUGGCCCCAGCAGACACCCUGGUGUUUGGUGAGAUAGGUGGGAUUGUACACCAAGACGAGACUGAUGGAUGGAAUCCAUACACCCCACGGAGGAAAGCGUAUUUGGCGCUUUCCAGAGGCCAGGAUCCUGGGUGAUUCAUAGAGGUGGGGCCACCAGGGCCCAUGCCUUGAUUUCAGCGAAAACUCCAGACAUGGAAAGACAGAGGUAUCUUUGUCUCGUUCCUCAGCAGACUGUUUAGCAAAGACAAGAUAUCUCAGAGGUGAGAGAGACGAGAGUCCAGAGCUGAGGAACCAUGGUAACAACAUCUCCAAAGAGAUAGGCAAGACUACCACCCUACUUGGACAGUCAUUAAUGCUCAGUUCAGGAACUCAAUUAGGAAGAAAAUUACAGGAGAGAUCAGAGGGCCCAUCUUUCUAGAAAGAGCUCAUGGAGACUCGUGUUGAGCAGGAGCAUCAGUGGUGGCUGGAAGCGUGUUAUGGUUUCUUCAAUCUCCCCACUCUGGUUCACCUGGUGUUCACCAGCCUGUGCUUGGCAUUGGGUCCCAGGGUGACAGAGAUUUGGCCUGGGACUCGGAAGAGUGUUGAACUACCUGACCCACCUGAUGUGUGUGCUUAAAACUGAGUCCUAGAUUCUGAUUGAAACCAAGAUGGGUCUCCAAGGCCUGCCAUCAAAGAGACAUUUGUGUACCCGGACAGAGGUGUGAGCACAAAGAACAUGGAGGCUACCUGGGAGACCAUUCGGAGCUUGUCCUCUUUCCAAUAGAGUACUCACGGGCUCCAUCCAGACGAGAGCAGAUUUCAUGCUCAUCAGAUGGGAUGGUGGGACUGUCGGGAGGGUGGCAGGAGUCAGACAAGUCAUGGUGACUGGAAAGAGCCAAAUACUUUUCAUCCAAAGAAUCCUGACACGCAUCAUCCAUUUCCUCCUCCUCCUGCAGCUCCCAGCUGAGCCCAGAGGCACAAAGAUAACAGAAUAUUAAACGAGGAAAGACUGGACACCGCAACUUCCCCACUGGUUCUGAUUGGAAGACUAAGGGAGAGGUCACAGAAGAUGGCUCCCUACUGAGGAUAAACCAACUUAGAGGAGACAGAGACUGCUGUUUGCAGUGGAGCGGGCAUGGCAACGGGGAUGACAGAGAUUUGGCCUGGGACUCGGAAGAGUGUUGAACUACCUGACCCACCUGAUGUGUGUGCUUAAAACUGAGUCCUAGAUUCUGAUUCAAACCAAGUUACGUCUCCAGGGCCAGACUGAAGAGAUGGCAUAUCUUGACCCGGACAGGGACGUGGGGAACAUGAAUAUGGACACUACCUGGGAGACCUGUUGGAGCUUUCUUCUCCUGUUGAUGGGAGUACUCAGUAGCUGCAACCAGAGCAGAGAAGUCUUCGUGCUCCUCAGACAAGAAAACAUGGUUGCUGGUAGGCUCGUGGGAACCAGUCGGGUACUGGUGACUGGAUGAAGUCACAGGGCCUUCAUCCACUGACCCCUUCAGGGCUUCAUUCACACUCUCUUUUUCCUGUAGCUCUGUGCUCAGCCUAGGGGAAAAAGGACAUGAUGAAACCCAGAAGGAUCGGAUGCCAGAGUCCCAGGUGGUCCUGAUUGGUGGUAGAGAGAGUGGUCACAGAAAGUGAGGGACAGUCCCCUCAAAGAGAAAGAAAACAAUCCUCCUAUGAUGAGGGCAUGGUCUGGCUGCCCCUGAGGCGAGGAAAAGAGGGGAGUGGGCGCUCAGUGAACUGGCCAGAUAGCACUCAAUGAGGAAGGAGAAUCAACUCUACCUGGAUGUGUCUGUCUCUCUGUCGCUGUGUAUCGGAAUGGGAAACAUGCUGUCUGUCACCAAGCAGAGCCCAUUGGGGUUAAUUCUGAGUAGAUGGUCUAAUUAUAGUUAGAAGCCAAUGUCUGAAAGGGAUGAUUUUCUUUUGUGACACUGUUUGACCACAAUACUCUUGAAACUCUGGAGAUAAGAUGGCCAAACAAUGGAUCCUUAAGUUAGAAAACUUUUAGAGAGCUCUCUUCAUAAAGAGCUGUUUUACUGGUACCUAUGAGAAGACCAAAUUAAAAGGAAAAUACAACGACUAAUCUCAAAAACGUCAUCAAAUUUGGGGUCUCAGCUUCUUCUUGUGGUCUCACAGAUGCAAAUGGAAACAUCAAGUUAACAAAGAGAAGUGAAGAAGGGAAGAGUGACAGAACUCACUCACUCCAACAGGAUGGCAAUCUUUAGUCAUUAAAAAGAAAGAGCAGGGUGAAUAGAACAGACACAAAUACUGUCAAAAUGAAGCUUUGACUAAAACACUGCCUAAGGUUGGAUGGGCUAAGGGGACCCCAUGUUGGCCCCCAACAUUCAAGAAUAUCAGACAAACUUGUUCUAUUUCUUCCAGUUUGAAAAAUAUUUUAAAAGUCAGUAGACAGAAAUCACAGCGAGAAACCUAUCAACACUUGUUUGGGGCAACAAUUAGGCUGCUCAGGUUGGUACAAGUAUAAAGAUUAAAGUGUUUACCCUAAUAUUACAUGAGGAGAUUAUGUCAACUUUGCCUGGAUGCUUUUUUGGGAUUAAAUAUUAUGCCUAGCUGAGAAUACAUUCCCUACAUAACACUGUAAUACCAAAACUUGUGAGUGAAAUUCUAAUAUAAGUUAUAAUUAGGGGUACAAGAGUUGAAAAAAUUAAGAUAAAGGUUUGUCAAAGUUGGUGUAUGUAAAUAGACCUUCUGUAAAACAAUUACAUCUGUUUUGCUGCAUUGCAUUAUAGAUUCUGUAGUGGGAAUAAACAUUAUGUGUCGCUGGAGAACGUGUCCCUUGCCUGAUAUUGCAAGAGCUCAUAAACCCACCCUUCAGGCUCUGCGAAUCGAACAUGUAGAGGAGAUUUCACUUUACAAUGGCCAAAAUGAGGCAGUUUCAGUUUACUCAAACCGAUACAUGCAAUCGGAACAAGCCAGCUACAACAGGAAGCCUAUUUUAAUCUUUUGAUGCUUCUAAAGAAAAUAAGAAAUAUUUUACUGCCUCUUUAAGAGAAAAAUCAUUAAAUAAUUAAACAUGCCAGGGCAGAAGCGAAGCCUGCUGCUGCUUUCUCUUCUCUCACUGAGAUUUGCCACUUCAACUCCCCCAAAAUGCCUGAUCUGAAACUAAACAGCUGAAAAUAGGCAAACUUUUGAGAUAAUUUGGAAUUAUAAUGGCCACUCUGGGGAACCUCUGCUUCAGAUGAGUCCACCUGAGGGGUCACCCUUCAAAGAGAGGAUUCAAAAUCUCUUCGAACGGAACACAGUCUUUAAUUAAUAUACAGAACCUCCUGAAAGACAAAGCUAUUUAACAGGAUCUAAAAUGAACUUUGGGAAAUAAAAGCCUGUUUAAGUGUGCUGGUUUGAUUUAAAAUAGACGUGUUCUCAGACUUAUCAGCAGUGGAUACAAUGCAGACAUACAGCCUGGGUUUACUCGUCAAAUGAGCUCAUGUUCUCUCUGUUACAACAUUUGUCAACAAGAGUAAUAACUUAGAAUAACAGCUGAUUUUGUUUAAUGUCUCAUGAGGUUUUUGUGGACGAUGUAAAUAUAACUCUUGAGAACGGGUAAACGAAAUAGAUGUAAGUCUGUCACCAUGCAAAGUUGUUCCAAUAUUGUGGACUACCGUCCCUGUGCUCUACAUUCCAACCCCAUGACUUACUUAUUUUGUAACUGGAAGGUUGUACCUCUUAAUCCCCUUCACCCAUUUCACCCACCCCCAACCCCUCCUCCCUCUGGUAAUCACCACUUUAUUUCCUGUUUCUAUGAGUCUGUUUGUUUGGUUUGGUUUGUUUUCUAGAUUCCGUAUAGAGGUGGAGAAAAAGAAACCCUCCUAGACUGUUGUUGGGAAUAUAAAUUGGUGCAGCCACUGUGGAAAACAGUCUGGAGGUUUCUCAAAACCUUUAGAAAGACAGCUUUUUUUCAGAGAAAGUCUGACAAACUGUAGUCAGUCAGGAGGUGAUUGUGAUUAAAGGUAAAUGCGGUAGUGAUUGCACCACAUCCUGAAUGUCCUAAAUGCCAAUGAAUGCUUCACUCGAAUUUAGCCAACUUUAGGUUCUGUGAAUUUCACCUCAAUAAGUUUUAUUUUAAAAAAAGACUCAAGGAACCUUUGAGUAAUUGGAGUCCAUAGUUUACCAAUUAUUGUUCUCUAAUGGUGUUAUGCAAAUUCGUAUGCAUGUGGCUGCCAUGAAAAUUUGGGCCAUUCUCCUGGCCCAGAGUUGCUCCUUGCCCCCUUCAGAGAUGCCUACAACUUCCCAGCAGACGUCCAGCACAGAGCCCCGCUUACUUGAGCUUCUCCGCUAACGUUGACUUCUCUGUGGGCUUCCCCUCCUGGAACUGCAGCUUCUCCCCCAGCACCGAUUCAAUGAUGUCUUUGCACGCUCCAGACUCUGAGGAAAGACAGAGAGGCCGGCCUCAGUGGAAAGCUGGCCAUGCUGCUGGGGUGACUGCCUGCAAGGGAGGAGGCAGGCUUCCAUCUCUUCUCUCAGAGGCAGAUAGAACCCCAGCACCAGGCUCUCCACUGAGAUUUCCACCUUCUAUUGCUCAGCCUCCCAAAUACACGGCAUUUGGUCACUCCUCAUUUGACAGCUGAGCAAAGAGAAGCUCCAAGGCAGAGAAAGUGACCAGACAAGAUUAGCUGACGUUUGGCAAGCUCAGAAUUCACAUGCCCUGAGACUGACGCCGAGUCCUGGGCCACUUUACCAAGACUUGCAGCCUCUUGAGUAAAACACUAAGCAGCGGCAUGAAGUGGCGAUCCCUGUGUGCUCGGGAAGGCCCCUGGGCCUACUGAUUGUUGGGCCCUCUGAGCUCAGAAUUUCAAGGACAAGUACCUUCACGAUGAAAUAUAAAUGUAUACGAAUGCAAUUCUGAAAAAUACAAGGCAUAACCAUCAAUCCCUGAAGGAAAUAGGCACAGGCUGUAGAAGUUGUUUUCAAUUCCAAGUAGUACAAGAAAGAACUAAUAAAUAGUGUUUCCUGUGUGUCAAGAACUGUUUUAGUAACUUUACAGAAAUAACUCAUGUGAUUCAUUGCAACCGCUCAAAGAAGUAGGCACUAUGACAGGGCCAUACUAACAGAGGAGGAAACCGUGAGGCUCAGAAAAAGCCACAGCUUGGAUCUGAGCCCAGGAAGAGUAGCUCAGUCUUCACCAAUGCACUGUGUUACCUCGCCACAAGAUCUUGGGUGACAUCUUUCUCCUUCAUCAUCUUCAAAAUUUGUUUCCUACAGUUAUGUUACGCCUAUAAAAAAAAGCUGUAAGGAAAACUUAGUCCUUUCUCAAAACCUCAUCUCUUCACUUUCUUAAAAAGCAGGUUUCAAUGUUUACUUUUCUCUGCGUCAGUCAUUUGAAGUUCACCACUCCCACGAUGGUUUAUUGGAAAAUAACACCCAUCCAGACUCAGAGUCGUCAAGAUCCCUUCUACUCACUCUGUUUGGCACGAGGCCCUGUUCUCACGAUCCCUUUCGUCACCACAGCCCCUCUUACUGAACAGGUGAUUGAGCUUCCAAUUGCGAGGCUGACUGUGGGAGGGAAGGACCUGUCCCAGACACUGGUUUGAGUUUUUACUGGGGCUGGUGGCCACCCCCACUUAGCGUCAUUCUCACUUGGGCCAUGUCUCACAGCCCAGACCCUCAAGGUCACCCGGACCUGCUGGCAGUCCUGCAUCACCAAAGGUUCACCAGCUCAGAGAGACACAGAAGAGGGGGUACGGAUUGUCUCAUUUCCCCAGAGACACCCUCUACCUCACCCCAAGAGGCAAAGUGGCUUCCUUGGCCUCAGAAAGAAAAGCCUGUGCUCAGGAAGCAUGGCUUCCCGCUCAGCAGGGUCGUCUCUGUCUGGAUGGCGUCACUCAUGGAUACCACAGUGUCACCGAGGAGCACACUCAUCUUCAGGCUCCUGUAAAGCAGGGAACAUCACCUGCUUCCCCCGGUGUGUACCAUCACCCCAUCUCCCCAGUGUAAGGAGCACAGAGCUUUGCCAGUGGGACCUCAGAGAAGCCUGAACUGAUGGAGCUCAUUAGUCCCGGACACUUAGGCCAAGAGUGAUGCAGGAUCUGAUUCCGUACACGGAGGAUGCUGGGAGAAACAGGUUAGCCUGCUCCAGAGGGAAACACGCAGUGCUGUGACUGCACCAGGAAUCAGUCACUGGGAUUUUACCUAAUCCCACCCUACACCUCACUGCCAAUCUGGAAAAGUCCCUCAACUUUUUGGGCCUCGGUUUGUCCAUGCUCAGCAAACUGAGGGUAAAAUACCCACUUGCACCUUCCCUGGACUGUGGUCACAAUGAAGUUUGUGUUGCCUCAGGGAACAGAAGAAAAGGUCUGGAGAGUUUUUAGUUUCUUAGGGGGACACGGUGGUCACUCAUCCCUCUGCUGACCAUGACCCUGUAGGACUUACUGUAUUUCUGCAGCUGGUUGGCCAGGAUGUAGGACAGUGGACUCAGAGACAAGGAACUUCUGUUUGAGGUCUCG
rnacentral:lncRNA from 1 species